GCUGGAGGCGCGCCACGCCGUGCACAUCGCCGCCUACGGCGAGGGCAACGAGCGCCGCCUGACCGGCAAGCACGAGACCAGCAGCAUGAGCGACUUCAGCUGGGGCGUGGCCAACCGCGGCUGCUCCAUCCGCGUGGGCCGCAUGGUGCCGGUGGAGAAGUCGGGCUACUAUGAGGACCGCCGGCCUGCCUCCAACCUGGACGCCUACGUCGUCACCCGCCUCAUCGUGGAGACCACCAUCCUUCUGUAAGCGCAGGAGCAGCGGCACGCAGGAGCAGCAGUGGGCGAUGGUGGUGGUGGCGUUUGUGCUGGCCUGAGCGAGGGGGGGGCCACGGAAGGGC
rnacentral:lncRNA from 1 species